GACGAACGCUGGCGGCGUGCUUAACACAUGCAAGUCGAACGGAAAGGCCCUGCUUUUGUGGGGUGCUCGAGUGGCGAACGGGUGAGUAACACGUGAGUAACCUGCCCUUGACUUUGGGAUAACUUCAGGAAACUGGGUCUAAUACCGGAUAGGAGCUCCUGCUGCAUGGUGGGGGUUGGAAAGUUUCGGCGGUUGGGGAUGGACUCGCGGCUUAUCAGCUUGUUGGUGGGGUAGUGGCUUACCAAGGCUUUGACGGGUAGCCGGCCUGAGAGGGUGACCGGCAACAAUGGGACUGAGAUACGGCCCAGACGCCUACGGGAGGCAGAAGUGGGGAAUAUGGCACAAUGGGCGGAAGCCUGAUGCAGCAACGCCGCGUGCGGGAUGACGGCCUUCGGGUUGUAAACCGCUUUCGCCUGUGACGAAGCGUGAGUGACGGUAAUGGGUAAAGAAGCACCGGCUAACUACGUG
rnacentral:rRNA from 1 species